rnacentral:other from 1 species
GUUCCCCUGCUAUGUUUGUGAUGGUAACAAUAUCUUGAGCCAAUGCGAAUUUGAACGGGAGUUGUCCCUGUCUGUGGCUGGCAUGUUCUAUUUAUGGAAAAGCCAAAAGCAGUUAUAUGACACCCACCUAGGAGUAAUAGGUUCAGAUUCAUUAUUGCCACACGGCACCUGCGGGGGAGCU